AGGACCGUAGCUCAGGGGUAGAGCGGAGGUCUCCAAAGCCUCGCGUCGCGGGUUCAAAUCCUGCCGGUCCUG
rnacentral:tRNA from 1 species